rnacentral:lncRNA from 1 species
CUUAGCUGCCCCUCCCUGCAGUCACCCUUUGGAUGUUGCCAAACCUAGAACAACUAUGAUUUCCUUUCCUCUCAGUUAUGCAGUAAAGCAUAAUGUUGUCCAGUUUCAGAUUUUUUUUGUUCAACCUGAAACAUGACUCACUGUCAUUAUUCUCUAUCUUCCUAGACUUCUAUCUAUUCUUUUUUAUAAUCCCACCAUUUUUUCUUUAUCUCUUUCCAUUUAUAGUUUAUAUUUUCAUGUUUAUUAUUACAAUUUUUUCUUGCAUAUAGCCAAUCUACUUGUUCUUCUGACUUACCUGGUAAUAUCUCAGUUCUUGUUAAGCCCUUUUCCUUACCUUCUUUGUACUUACAUCAGGAUAACAUUGUAGCUAUAUCAUCUCUUAAGUUUUACAUUUCUGAUCACCAGUCUCAAUAGUUUCUGUUUCAGUUUAUAAUCUGCUCAGAGUUAUACAAUUCAUGAUCAUCAUUUAAAUACAUGUCCACUAUUCUCCAGUGUCUAAGCUCCCCUCAUCCUUAGUAUCAAAUGGUGUACCUUCCAAGUAGUCCCAUACUUCCACCUGUAUUUUGUAUCCUAACCCUUCCUUUCAUCUCACUAACAUUUAAUUUUUAGUCCUUUCUCCCUUGAAUAUUUAUUGUGGCUUUCCCCCAUUGUCCUUAAGUAGGCUUAAAUUUUCUGUGUUAAAUAUUAAUUAAGUAAUCCACUAUCCUCUAGCUGUAACCCUAUCACUUUCUUUCCCUUUCCUGUUUCCAAGAGUUGAUUUUAUGGGUUAACUUGGCUAGGGUACACUAAUUAGUUGUUUGAUUAAACAUUAGCAUAGAUGUUGCUAUAAAAGCAUUUUGUAGAUGUGAUUAAGACUGACAAUCCACUGACUUUGUGUGUGGCACAUUACCCUCCAUAAAGUAGGUUCCAGUUCAUGGUCAGCUCGUGGUCUCUUACUUUUUAUGAUGACCAUUUAAAAUCAUCUCUACUCUUCUCAAGGCCUAACCUCUCUUCUUCCUUAGUAUCAGACAAUGUCACUUCUAAUUAGUGAUCAUUAAGGACCAGGAUGGAGGUUUCCCCAGGAAGAAGGAAAGUUAUUUGUAGCCUGAAGUAGCAAUUCUGCCUGAGUUUCCAGCUGAUCCAGUUGCUUAAUGGAUUUACCAACCAUCAGACUUAUCAACAUCUUAAUCAUGUCAGCCAAUUUCUUAAAAGAAAUUUCCAAGAGAUUGAGAGAGAGAGAGAGAGAGAGAGAGAGAGAGA